rnacentral:rRNA from 1 species
GCUAGUUGGUGGGGUAACGGCCUACCAAGGCGACGAUGCGUAGCCGACCUGAGAGGGUGAUCGGCCACACUGGGACUGAGACACGGCCCAGACUCCUACGGGAGGCAGCAGUAGGGAAUCUUCCGCAAUGGACGAAAGUCUGACGGAGCAACGCCGCGUGAACGAUGAAGGUUUUCGGAUCGUAAAGUUCUGUUGUUAGGGAAGAACCGCCGGGAUGACCUCCCGGUCUGACGGUACCUAACGAGAAAGCCCCGGCUAACUACGUGCCAGCAGCCGCGGUAAUACGUAGGGGGCAAGCGUUGUCCGGAAUUAUUGGGCGUAAAGCGCGCGCAGGCGGCUUCUUAAGUCAGGUGUGAAAGCCCACGGCUCAACCGUGGAGGGCCACUUGAAACUGGGAAGCUUGAGUGCAGGAGAGGAGAGCGGAAUUCCACGUGUAGCGGUGAAAUGCGUAGAGAUGUGGAGGAACACCCGUGGCGAAGGCGGCUCUCUGGCCUGUAACUGACGCUGAGGCGCGAAAGCGUGGGGAGCGAACAGGAUUAGAUACCCUGGUAGUCCACGCCGUAAACGUUGAGUGCUAGGUGUUGGGGGUGACCAAUCCUCAGUGCCGCAGCUAACGCAAUAAGCACUCCGC